CGUCAUCAACCUGUUGCGGGCAAAUAUAAUGAAUAUGACUGUCAAAACCUCCAGCUGUUAAGAUUUUUCCCUCACCUGCAAUAAUUUCGGUACCUGGACCAAUGCUGAUAUCCACAUUGGGUUGUGUAUCUGGGUUUCCUGCUUUUCCUAUAGCGCUGAUACGACCGUCGCGUAGUGCAACAUCAGCUUUGUAAAUGCCUGUGUAAUCUAGAAUAAGAGCAUUUGUGAUUACAGUGUCGGGAGCGCCUUCAGCUCGUGUGGUUUGUGAUUGGCCCAUACCAUCGCGGAUG
rfam:Rhodobacteraceae bacterium HIMB11 HIMB11_contig30.8, whole genome shotgun sequence.